rnacentral:lncRNA from 1 species
CCGCCUCUGCCCGUUUGACCAGUCCACCGCUACGUCAGAUAAGUGAAGGCGCUUUUCCUACUAACGUCUUCACUGACUGAAAGCGCAUUUCUGACUUUACGGUUCUGCCUUAUCCACUCAGGGACCCGACUGUGAAUAUAAUUUUUGCAGAAAAAUCCCGGAACUUCAACCCCUCAUAACUUUUUAACCAUAACUCCAAAUGAGGUGAAACCAACGCUCACUUCUUUGUUUCAUCGAGCCCGUUCUGUUGGUCACUCUUUCACUAUGGCUUGACACUGUGAAAAUGACCUUUAUGCCCUUGCCCUUAUUAAGCCCCCUUCGAGAGAGAACGAUUUCCGGUGAAUCAUUCCGCGGCUUCAUCGCACUUCUCCCCGGUGCCUUGUUCAUCCCCAGGCAAGCCACAAUACCCCCUUGCAUGAUAGUCAUGCAGUAGCCAUGGUUUUCAACUUGAAUCUUUAUUAAAUGUUUGCUUGUUAAAAAGAUGGUUAUCGUUGUUUCGGCGAUGUUCAGAUUUGCAUGUUCACUUUUGUGCUAUGUUGUUUUAUACUCUGUGAUCAUGUUAUACCUGCUAGUAUUACCUUUCAUAUGAUUAUGCUGGUUAGUUGUACAUGUUGAUGUUGGAAAUGGUCAUGCUAGUCAGUAUGCCAUGUUUAGUGGAGAUGAGUUAUUGUUGAUAUGGUGGAAAGUUAUGUGAUACUCUCAUGGUGAUGUUGAUAUCAUGUUCAUGUAUUUUAUGAUGGCUCAGCAUAUUUGCAUUCAAGUUAACCAGAUUAAAUUGAACUUGAACACCUGUUGGAUGAGUCAUGGUGCCGCUGAAUCGAUGCUGACCAGUGCAACCACGCUUACCGGUAUGGGACGGUCCUAACUGGGUCUAUUGUCGUGCCUCUCGCCGAUGCCUCCAACGAGGGAAGGUUAUGGGCGCGUGCUACCCUGAUCAGGUAGGCGGAGCAUAACCUUGUGUUCUCGGUUUUGAUUUGAUUUUGCGCAAGGGUCCCAGAGUGGAUCGGGCCAUGACGGUGGUCGGUGUGUCUGGAGGUAGACACGGGGCCACCCAUGACUUAGCUCAGUGAGGAGUGAGUCGGAAUGGCCGGGAGAGUGUCAUGACAGUAGAUUAGUUUUGUCGGAACGCCGUUGGUCCACACGAAUGGGAGUGCGAGGCCAUGGGUUUCGUAUUGUGGGUACAACGUACUAACCUCUGCCGAGUGUAUAUUAAAUCUAUCGAUAGCCGCACCCGCGGAUAAGGGCCCAGGUCGAGAGAAGGUCACACCAUGAGUCAACAGUAAUAAUAAUAAUGUGCUUAAUAACAGUGAGAUAAGUUGGCCAAGUAUUGGUCGGGUUAUGAUCACCGUAAGGAUCACGAGCCAUGUAGUGGUCGGGUUGUGAUCGCCGUAAGGAUCACGGGCCAUAAAGUGGUCGGGUUGUGAUCGCCGUAAGGAUCACGGUUUGGAACCCAGUGUUGGUCGUGGUUGUGAUCGCCGUAAGGAUCACGAUGGUAUCGAGGAUACCGAGUUGUUGUACAUUCGUGAUGUUGUACGAGAAUCGUGGGUAAAGAUCAAGCUCCUUGUGGUCAUAUACUGAUUGCUACGGUAUUGUUUAAACCAAGCUUGAUAUGAUCCUAAGAUGAUCGUGUGAUGUCUGAGGUUGGUAAGUGAUGCAUGUGUUGGUUACGAGGUAACCGAGCAGUGUAAGUGGUGCAUAUAGUGGUUUCAUGUUGCAUGCUAGUAUUGUUGGAUUACUAUGUUCAUGUUGAGAUAGUUGUAUCAUGUUUAUGUUGGUCAUGCCAUGCUAUGUUAUGCUGAUGAUAUCAUGAUAAUUCCUGUUUAACCUGUAAAUGCCAUGCUGUUGUUUGUCUUGAAUGCUUCUGGUUUAUUGUGAGCUUGCAAGUACAUUCAAUGUACUGACCCGGCGUGUCAUGCCAGCUUGCAGGUCAUUCCGGAUUUGAUUGCUUGCUUGUCAUGGUUUCCGUUUGUGUGAGCUAGGAUAAGCGUUCCAGCCAGAGUCCCUGCGGAGUGGAGUUCACCACCGUCUUCGUUGUUCCGCUGCUAGAGUCCUUCCGCUGCAUCGUGUUGUUCUGCUGCUUGCAUAGAGCAACAGAGGAUUGCGUAGUGUCGCCGUGCCGAUGUUAUUCAUUGUAAUAUCGGAGACCUUGUAUUCAUAUUCGUGUAAUAAUAGAAGGCUGGUUUGUUCUAUGCUAAGCAGUGUCGUAUUCCAGAAGACUUCUCCUCGAUCUCUGGGCUGGAAUACGGGGCAUUCCGGUUUUCUCUGAGCCGGGGUGCCACAACUACACCUGCUUCCUUAGCAGUAACAUCAUCAGUGGGUUGUAUACACACGAGAAGAGGUGAUCCAUCGGAAUUAGUUGCCAGGCGCCAAAGAGUAUAUGGGCGCUGCUCUUACUCAUGCUCGUGAUCAUCACCAUCGUCAUCUCCCCCUUGGUUAUAAAAAUUUUCAAGUAUAGGUGGUGGAAUGUUCACAGGACCUUGGAAACACAAGAAGAAGGUUAAUUAGUAAAGGGAAACUUUCUAACCCGCAUGCAUGUGGAUGAAAUAAUUAUAAUUACGGUGGAAGACAAACGUACCGAAAUCAUAACGAUUCCAUGCAAAAAUAGUGCCACGAGUGGUGGCAGCAAACACAAGGCCCUCGUAUUGAAUUGCAUCACAGUACUCAUGCGUGUAGAGAAACUGAUUUUUGAGCAAUGUCCAUCGAGUCAAACCUGCAAGGACGACAACAAGCUUAUCGAAGAUAGCAACAACUUCAUAGUUGUUGUAAUUCCAAGAGCGGUUGGGAACUCGAGAAAUUGCCAUCUUCCAUAGAAGACAGUCACCAUGAUUGUAUUUUAACGUGCGUACAAUACUGGUGUGCUCAACCUCUGGGCAGUCUGCUGAGAUUUUUGGAAGUGGAACCCGGUCACGAGUGUACACAUUCACAAGUUCCCACUCGC